rnacentral:rRNA from 1 species
AUAAUGGGUCAGCGACUUAUAUUCUGUAGCAAGGUUAACCGAAUAGGGGAGCCGAAGGGAAACCGAGUCUUAACUGGGCGUUAAGUUGCAGGGUAUAGACCCGAAACCCGGUGAUCUAGCCAUGGGCAGGUUGAAGGUUGGGUAACACUAACUGGAGGACCGAACCGACUAAUGUUGAAAAAUUAGCGGAUGACUUGUGGCUGGGGGUGAAAGGCCAAUCAAACCGGGAGAUAGCUGGUUCUCCCCGAAAGCUAUUUAGGUAGCGCCUCGUGAAUUCAUCUCCGGGGGUAGAGCACUGUUUCGGCAAGGGGGUCAUCCCGACUUACCAACCCGAUGCAAACUGCGAAUACCGGAGAAUGUUAUCACGGGAGACACACGGCGGGUGCUAACGUCCGUCGUGAAGAGGGAAACAACCCAGACCGCCAGCUAAGGUCCCAAAGUCAUGGUUAAGUGGGAAACGAUGUGGGAAGGCCCAGACAGCCAGGAUGUUGGCUUAGAAGCAGCCAUCAUUUAAAGAAAGCGUAAUAGCUCACUGGUCGAGUCGGCCUGCGCGGAAGAUGUAACGGGGCUAAACCAUGCACCGAAGCUGCGGCAGCGACGCUGAUGCGUUGUUGGGUAGGGGAGCGUUCUGUAAGCCUGUGAAGGUGUGCUGUGAGGCAUGCUGGAGGUAUCAGAAGUGCGAAUGCUGACAUAAGUAACGAUAAAGCGGGUGAAAAGCCCGCUCGCCGGAAGACCAAGGGUUCCUGUCCAACGUUAAUCGGGGCAGGGUGAGUCGACCCCUAAGGCGAGGCCGAAAGGCGUAGUCGAUGGGAAACAGGUUAAUAUUCCUGUACUUGGUGUUACUGCGAAGGGGGGACGGAGAAGGCUAUGUUGGCCGGGCGACGGUUGUCCCGGUUUAAGCGUGUAGGCUGGUUUUCCAGGCAAAUCCGGAAAAUCAAGGCUGAGGCGUGAUGACGAGGCACUACGGUGCUGAAGCAACAAAUGCCCUGCUUCCAGGAAAAGCCUCUAAGCAUCAGGUAACAUCAAAUCGUACCCCAAACCGACACAGGUGGUCAGGUAGAGAAUACCAAGGCGCUUGAGAGAACUCGGGUGAAGGAACUAGGCAAAAUGGUGCCGUAACUUCGGGAGAAGGCACGCUGAUAUGUAGGUGAAGUCCCUCGCGGAUGGAGCUGAAAUCAGUCGAAGAUACCAGCUGGCUGCAACUGUUUAUUAAAAACACAGCACUGUGCAAACACGAAAGUGGACGUAUACGGUGUGACGCCUGCCCGGUGCCGGAAGGUUAAUUGAUGGGGUCAGCGCAAGCGAAGCUCUUGAUCGAAGCCCCGGUAAACGGCGGCCGUAACUAUAACGGUCCUAAGGUAGCGAAAUUCCUUGUCGGGUAAGUUCCGACCUGCACGAAUGGCGUAAUGAUGGCCAGGCUGUCUCCACCCGAGACUCAGUGAAAUUGAACUCGCUGUGAAGAUGCAGUGUACCCGCGGCAAGACGGAAAGACCCCGUGAACCUUUACUAUAGCUUGACACUGAACAUUGAGCCUUGAUGUGUAGGAUAGGUGGGAGGCUUUGAAGUGUGGACGCCAGUCUGCAUGGAGCCGGCCUUGAAAUACCACCCUUUAAUGUUUGAUGUUCUAACGUUGACCCGUUAUCCGGGUUGCGGACAGUGUCUGGUGGGUAGUUUGACUGGGGCGGUCUCCUCCUAAAGAGUAACGGAGGAGCACGAAGGUUGGCUAAUCCUGGUCGGACAUCAGGAGGUUAGUGCAAUGGCAUAAGCCAGCUUGACUGCGAGCGUGACGGCGCGAGCAGGUGCGAAAGCAGGUCAUAGUGAUCCGGUGGUUCUGAAUGGAAGGGCCAUCGCUCAACGGAUAAAAGGUACUCCGGGGAUAACAGGCUGAUACCGCCCAAGAGUUCAUAUCGACGGCGGUGUUUGGCACCUCGAUGUCGGCUCAUCACAUCCUGGGGCUGAAGUAGGUCCCAAGGGUAUGGCUGUUCGCCAUUUAAAGUGGUACGCGAGCUGGGUUUAGAACGUCGUGAGACAGUUCGGUCCCUAUCUGCCGUGGGCGCUGGAGAACUGAGGGGGGCUGCUCCUAGUACGAGAGGACCGGAGUGGACGCAUCACUGGUGUUCGGGUUGUCAUGCCAAUGGCACUGCCCGGUAGCUAAAUGCGGAAGAGAUAAGUGCUGAAAGCAUCUAAGCACGAAACUUGCCCCGAGAUGAGUUCUCCCUGACUCCUUGAGAGUCCUGAAGGAACGUUGAAGACGACGACGUUGAUAGGCCGGGUGUGUAAGCGCAGCGAUGCGUUGAGCUAACCGGUACUAAUGAACCGUGAG